AAUCAUGGCUCAGGAUGAACGCUGGCGGCGUGCUUAACACAUGCAAGUCGAACGAAGCACUUUAUUUGAUUUCCUUCGGAUUGAUUAUUUUGUGACUGAGUGGCGGACGGGUGAGUAACGCGUGGGUAACCUGCCUUGUACAGGGGGAUAACAGUUGGAAACGGCUGCUAAUACCGCAUAAGCGCACAGCAUCGCAUGAUGCAGUGUGAAAAACUCCGGUGGUAUAAGAUGGACCCGCG
rnacentral:rRNA from 1 species